rnacentral:rRNA from 1 species
AGAUUGAACGCUGGCGGCAUGCCUUACACAUGCAAGUCGAACGGUAACAGGUUAGGCUGACGAGUGGCGAACGGGUGAGUAAUAUAUCGGAACGUGCCCAGUCGUGGGGGAUAACUGCUCGAAAGAGCAGCUAAUACCGCAUACGACCUGAGGGUGAAAGCGGGGGAUCGCAAGACCUCGCGCGAUUGGAGCGGCCGAUAUCAGAUUAGGUAGUUGGUGGGGUAAAGGCCCACCAAGCCAACGAUCUGUAGCUGGUCUGAGAGGACGACCAGCCACACUGGGACUGAGACACGGCCCAGACUCCUACGGGAGGCAGCAGUGGGGAAUUUGGACAAUGGGCGCAAGCCUGAUCCAGCCAGUGCCGCGUGCGGGAAGAAGGCCUUCGGUGUAAACCGCUUUGUCGAGGAAGAAAAGGUUCGUAGGUUAAUACCGUAGGACUACGUAUCGUACGGUACCCUAGAAACGAAGUAA